rnacentral:tRNA from 1 species
GCCUUCCUGGUGUAGUGGUCAGCACACUCGGCGCGUAUUCGAGAGGUCCGUGGUUCGAGUCCAGGCGAGGGUA